UCCAUGGGGUGCAAACGUUGCUCGGAAUUAUUGGGCGUAAAGCGCACGUAGGCGGUUUGUUAAGUCGGAUGUGAAAUCCCUCGGCUCAACUGAGGAAGUGCAUCCGAAACUGGCAGGCUUGAGUACUAAAGAGGGUCGCGGAAUUCCCGGUGUAGAGGUGAAAUUCGUAGAUAUCGGGAGGAACACCGGUGGCGAAGGCGGCGACCUGGGUAGAUACUGACGCUGAGGUGCGAAAGCGUGGGGAGCAAACAGG
rnacentral:rRNA from 1 species